rnacentral:lncRNA from 1 species
CUCCCUCUAUUUCUGGCUAACCAGAUAUGAUAAGCAACGUAGGUAGCAUGGAUCCUCAUGGCUCUAAACGAGUCAGACCCCCCACUCCAUCGGAGGAACUCCAAGAAAUGUUGGAUAGGUUCCCCAAGGGCUGAGGCCACAGCUGAAAGCCCCACGAUCUCUUAGAUCUGUCAUGCUCUGGGGCGGGCAAAGAGUACAUGGUCCACUGUUGCCUCCUCCUUGCCACAAUUGAAACAUGUCGCCGAAAUGAAUAAGCCCUCAACACUCAAAAUCGUGCUGGUCGGAAGAUGAUACUGCGCCACCUUCUAGAGAAACAGGCUAACCCUCAGUUGUAUUUUUAGCCUCUAGAUCCAUGCCCCUUCAAUUCUCCUGAUUGGAGGCCCAUUUUAUAUCUCAUAUAAGCCCCUGA